UCAGGAAUUCAGGGCAUGACGGGAUUGGCUUGGCUCUGCUCCACGACGUGUGGGGCCUCAGCUGGAAGACCGGAAGACUGGAGGGCUGACGUUACCUGCAGGCUUCAUGGAGGCUGGAGGCUUGGUUUCCCAGAUGGCUCACUCACACGGCAGUAUUAAAAGCAAGUCCCAGCCAGGUGUGGUGGCUCAUGCCUGUAAUCCCAGCACUUUGGGAGGCCGAGGCAGGCGGAUCACUUGAGGACUUUGUGCUCCAUCAGUUGAAGAGUAGGAUGAAGAAAAAAAAAAAAGGUUACAUGAAGAUGAUGGAAUUAUAAUCAGGCCUUGAAGAACGGAGACAAUUCCAGCCAUUGUUGUAGAUGUGGAGGCUGAAGGACAUUCCAAUUUGAAGGAACAGAGAGAUGGGAUCUCACUCUGCUGCCCAGGCUGGUCUCCUCCUGCCUUGGCCUCCCAAAGUGUUGGAAUUACAAGUGUGAGCCACUGUGCCUGGCCCUGAAUAAGUUUCUUGACCCAGAGUUCCUGAAGAGGAGGAUGGGAACCUUGGAGGCUGUUUCUCCAGGCUGGAUGGAGUUUCGCUCUUGUUGCCCAGGCUAGAGUGCAAUGGCGCGAUCUCAGCUCACUGCAACCUCUGCCUCCUGGGUUCAAGCAAUUCUCCUGCCUCAUCCUCCUGAGUAGCUGAGAUUACAGGUGAUGGAGUCUUGUUGUGUUGCCCAGCCUGGCGUCUAACCCCUGGCCUCAAGCGAUCUUCCUGCCUUGGCCCCCCAAAGUGCUGGAAGUAUAGGCAUGAGUCACCACGCCCAGCCAAAUUUGUGUCUUAUUUUUAAUAAAUUUGGACGUGGUCGUAAUUU
rnacentral:lncRNA from 1 species